UUGGACUAUAACCUGGUGUUGUGAGAUUUUUAACUCUUAACACAUUAAUGUAAUAUCUGAGCACUCAGAAAUUUCAGGUCCUUCACUUUGAAUCGAUUGAAAGCUUCUGUUGGAAUCUGACAGCUACUGGAUUCUUGAUACAACUAACCAGCCAUCUUACGUCAUUGUGUUUAAACACAGAGCUCUCUGGGCUGUUUGACAAGCCCUGGCAGUGUUCUCAUCUGAUGCUUGUGCUUAUACUUUUAUGGUCAUGAAGUGGUCACCAAGAUAGGGAGUCCCAGAUAAUUACUGUGAAUGAUCACAUUUUUGGGUAUACUAGACAAACAAUGGAUUGCAAGUUUUCACAGACCUUUAAAGAGGACAAUUGGCUUAAAAUGGCUGUUGUGAUCACCUGACCAGAUUGAGCCAUGCUCAAAAAAUUCAGUAGUGAACAAGAAUCAAUCUGAGCCGAAAUGAACAAUCAUCAGAAACGCUGAAACUUAACUACAAGUUGGUCCACCCCUUCCUGGAAUUGACGUUGGAAUGAAAGUCAGAUCAUUCAGCUUGAAAACAGUGAUGCCAGAUAUUGGAAUCCACAACUAUUGCUCAACAGUUUUUUUUCUCUGCAAGAGACCAGAGAAAAGAAAACAAAAUGUCUGUGUAAGCCAGAACUGGGAGGUGUUCUCUUUGUCCCUGACUGUCUGUCUCAACCUUAAAAAUGAGUGCCAAAUGAAAAAGCUACUUAGAUUUAAAAAAAUUCAACAAGAACACGAGGAUAUCUGCAAAUAUUGUCAAUGCUAAAUUAACAAAAGAAGGGCUAAACAAUUGGGAUUCGAUAUAUUCUCACAAUUCAAGGACUCAAAACUAUUAAAACUGCAACUGACUUUACCUUUCUGUCUGGUCUGGACACUCUUCUCCUGCCAUCUUUUUCAUCUGUAUUACCUGUGUUUAUGUGUGCAUUUAAUGUCUCAUUUUAUUAUUCUUUUUGGGAUAAAUUCCUCCUUCUUUUAUUCAAGCCCACCUUGUAAUUAUAGUUCCUUCAUUGCAGAUCUAAUUAAUGACAGGUAGUUCUUCUAUAAUGCCGCAGUUGUGUUCCAAUGAAAUCUCACUUAAUAGAAAAUUGCUUAAUUUAAAUAGUGGGGCCUAUGCAAAACGUGGGGUUGGGGCAGACUAGCAAAAAAUAUCACUCGUGAUCACUCAAAAAUCACCUAACAGUCUAAUGCAAAGUAUAGCACAGCCUGAAUGCAGGUUGAAAUCUUAUUUAUUAAAGGAAACAAAACUAAAUUUAGUACAGUACAUUUAAAAAAUGUAAGAAAGCUGCUCUCUGUACAGUACCUUUCACAGAAAGCUGCUCUGUCGGUAGCUGACACCAGCACAUGUGCAGAAUGCCACAAAGACCAGUAGCAAUGUUACACAUACACAGAACAGUAUGGAUACUGGUGCAUGUGCAGAAUGGCACAGACAUCAGCGCAUGUGCAGAACAAAGCGUGUGAACGAAUCUGGAAUCAUGCUAUUCCCAGCAGAGGUGAGUGUACUUGAAAAUACCGUUCCCUAAUUCUUCCAUGAUGUUAUUGCUAAAUCAUGUACAUUAUCCCAGAACUACCUGUACAUUUUAAUUGAGAUGUAGUAUGUCAUGUUGAAAAAGCAAUAAACUGAGAGGUGGUUAAAAAGCAGAGAAUUGAUUUCCCUUCUUCAUCUGAUCAUAGCCUCCAACCUCAUUGUCCGU